rnacentral:rRNA from 1 species
UACGUAGGGACCAAGCGUUGUUCGGAUUUACUGGGCGUAAAGGGCGCGUAGGCGGCGUGGUAAGUCACUUGUGAAAUCUCUGAGCUUAACUCAGAACGGCCAAGUGAUACUGCUGUGCUAGAGUGCAGAAGGGGCAAUCGGAAUUCUUGGUGUAGCGGUGAAAUGCGUAGAUAUCAAGAGGAACACCUGAGGUGAAGACGGGUUGCUGGGCUGACACUGACGCUGAUGCGCGAAGGCCAGGGGAGCAAACGGG